rnacentral:rRNA from 1 species
GAUGAACGCUGGCGGCGUGCCUAAUACAUGCAAGUCGAGCGAACAGACGAGGAGCUUGCUCCUCUGACGUUAGCGGCGGACGGGUGAGUAACACGUGGAUAACCUACCUAUAAGACUGGGAUAACUUCGGGAAACCGGAGCUAAUACCGGAUAAUAUAUUGAACCGCAUGGUUCAAUAGUGAAAGACGGUUUUGCUGUCACUUAUAGAUGGAUCCGCGCCGCAUUAGCUAGUUGGUAAGGUAACGGCUUACCAAGGCAACGAUGCGUGGCCGACCUGAGAGGGUGAUCGGCCACACUGGAACUUGGACACGGUCCAGACUCCUAAGGGAGGCAGCAGUAGGGAAUCUUCCGGAAUGGGCGAAAGCUUGACGGAGCAACGCCGCGUGAGUGAUGAAGGUCUUCGGAUCGUAAAACUCUGUUAUUAGGGAAGAACAAAUGUGUAAGUAACUAUGCACGUCUUGACGGUACCUAAUCAGAAAGCCACGGCUAACUACGUG